rnacentral:rRNA from 1 species
GAGCCUCUUGGCAGCUUGCUCCAUCGGUUUAGCGGCGGACGGGUGAGUAACACGUGGGCAACCUGCCCUGCAGAUCGGGAUAACUCCGGGAAACCGGUGCUAAUACCGAAUAGUUUGUUGCCCCUCCUGGGGCGGAACGGAAAGACGGUUUCGGCUGUCACUGCAGGAUGGGCCCGCGGCGCAUUAGCUAGUUGGUGGGGUAAUGGCCCACCAAGGCGACGAUGCGUAGCCGACCUGAGAGGGUGAUCGGCCACACUGGGACUGAGACACGGCCCAGACUCCUACGGGAGGCAGCAGUAGGGAAUCUUCCGCAAUGGACGAAAGUCUGACGGAGCAACGCCGCGUGAGUGACGAAGGUUUUCGGAUCGUAAAACUCUGUUGUGAGGGAAGAACAAGUACCAACUAACUACUGGUACCUUGACGGUACCUCACCAGAAAGCCACGGCUAACUACGUGCCAGCAGCCGCGGUAAUACGUAGGUGGCAAGCGUUGUCCGGAAUUAUUGGGCGUAAAGCGCGCGCAGGCGGUCCCUUAAGUCUGAUGUGAAAGCCCACGGCUCAACCGUGGAGGGUCAUUGGAAACUGGGGGACUUGAGUGCAGAAGAGGAAAGUGGAAUUCCAUGUGUAGCGGUGAAAUGCGCAGAUAUCAGGAGGGAACAC